ACCACCACCGGCUGGGGCUGCAGUCCUGAACCUCCAAAAGGGAUGAGAAAAAUCAGAUCUGUCCAAGAGUGGGUUGCCUCAUAAGCUCCCCACUACUACAGGCGUUCAAGUCAGCAAACCUCCAAGGAGCCCACAUUCUACUGGGUGAGACAACAAGUAAAAUAACCAGGAACACGGAAGGAAGCCUGAGAUGGGAAGACACCAGCAGUCGUGCGAGCAGGAAGGCCUCCUGCAGAAGGGAGGGUUUGAGCUGAAACAAGGAAAAAGGGCCAACACAUUAUGGAUGCUGGGGCAUCCAAUCCUCUCUGUGUGAGCCUGAGAAGAGACCUAUGAGGCCCCCGGCAGCUCUGAGAUUCCAGGAAGCCAAGAUUGAACAAUUCCAGGACCCACCACCCCAGAGGCACCAACUCUGGAGACCUGAGACAGCACGCCAUCUCUGGCACGGGUCCUCACACGGGACACCAAAUGUCUUCAUUGGCUGAUCCCCAUGCCUGGAGUGCUCUGUCUCCUGCCUCCCUGCCUCCCUCCAAGUUUCAGUUAAGCUGAUCCCCCUGAAUUCUGUUGAUUAUUUCCUG